AAGAAGGCGUUUAUUCCAUUGUGUCACAAUUACUUCCCUGAGACUUGCUGCCAAAGUUAAUGAAGAAGAGGAGUUAAUUCCGCGCGUAAAAGACUUCAUAAAGCACUAUGGCUCUGGCUACUCCCCCAAAUGAGCUGCUGAGGAUGGAGCUGGCUAUUCUGAACAACUGCACUGGGAUCUCUACACUGGGAACCGCUGGACUUCUUGACCAUAUUCCACACCCUGGUGGUCCUGGGCUGGCCCCACGUGAAGGAGCUGCUGCCUCAGAGGAAUCCU